CAAUCUCUUCAUCAUCUCUGAGCCUUAGUGUAUCAAGUUUCUCUCUAUCUCUCUUGCGAUUUCUCUCUCUCGCAUUGCGUUCUUCUCGUUGUCUCUCUUUGUCUAUUUGUAUCUUUGUCUCUCUCUGUCUCUCUUUGUGUCUCUGUGAUUGUUUCAAUCACUUUCUCUAAGAAAGUGUAAUUGCAAUGAGAAGACGAAUUUGUUCAUGGGUUUACUCCACAGUGGUUACUUUCUUUGUUGAAUUCAUAUGAAGCUUUGUGACGAUUGGAUUUUGUGAUCAUAUUUGCUAUGAGGCAAGGAAAGGAUGUUGUGAUUGACAUUAAAAACGGAUUGGUAGCAGGAAUCUAAAACAGGGCCUUACUUGCAGAGGGCCUUACUUGCAGAGGUAUGAAAAAGAGUUUCUCUACAUGCUAUAUGUAAAGGUGAUCCCAUGGGGUGAUCUAGACUCACUCGCCAUGCUUCAAAGACAACUCGGCGUUGACAUACUCGUAACAGGCCAUACCACUAGUUUGGUUUUGUAUCACUUAUCUUUGUUACCACUAUUUUGGUUUUGUAUCAUUUUUGUUUGACACCACAAAACAAUAUUCACACAAGUACUUUUCUUG